rnacentral:rRNA from 1 species
AUUGAACGCUGGCGGCAUGCUUUACACAUGCAAGUCGAACGGUAACAGGCCGCAAGGUGCUGACGAGUGGCGAACGGGUGAGUAAUGCAUCGGAACGUGCCCAGUCGUGGGGGAUAACGCAGCGAAAGCUGCGCUAAUACCGCAUACGAUCUAUGGAUGAAAGCGGGGGACCGUAAGGCCUCGCGCGAUUGGAGCGGCCGAUGUCAGAUUAGGUAGUUGGUGGGGUAAAGGCUCACCAAGCCAACGAUCUGUAGCUGGUCUGAGAGGACGACCAGCCACACUGGGACUGAGACACGGCCCAGACUCCUACGGGAGGCAGCAGUGGGGAAUUUUGGACAAUGGGCGCAAGCCUGAUCCAGCAAUGCCGCGUGCAGGAAGAAGGCCUUCGGGUUGUAAACUGCUUUUGUACGGAACGAAACGGUCUGGGUUAAUACCCUGGGCUAAUGACGGUACCGUAAGAAUAAGCACCGGCUAACUACGUGCCAGCAGCCGCGGUAAUACGUAGGGUGCAAGCGUUAAUCGGAAUUACUGGGCGUAAAGCGUGCGCAGGCGGUUUUGUAAGACAGUCGUGAAAUCCCCGGGCUCAACCUGGGAAUUGCGAUUGUGACUGCAAAGCUGGAGUGCGGCAGA